rnacentral:tRNA from 1 species
UGCGAGAUAGAGCAGAGGUAGCUCGUCGGGCUCAUAACCCGAAGGUCAGUGGUUCGAAUCCGCUUCUCGCUACAA